AGAGUUUGAUCCUGGCUCAGGAUGAACGCUGGCGGCGUGCCUAAUACAUGCAAGUCGAACGAGUUCUGAUUAUUGAAAGGUGCUUGCAUCUUGAUUUAAUUUUGAACGAGUGGCGGACGGGUGAGUAACACGUGGGUAACCUGCCCUUAAGUGGGGGAUAACAUUUGGAAACAGAUGCUAAUACCGCAUAAAUCCAAGAACCGCAUGGUUCUUGGCUGAAAGAUGGCGUAAGCUAUCGCUUUUGGAUGGACCCGCGGCGUAUUAGCUAGUUGGUGAGGUAACGGCUCACCAAGGCAAUGAUACGUAGCCGAACUGAGAGGUUGAUCGGCCACAUUGGGACUGAGACACGGCCCAAACUCCUACGGGAGGCAGCAGUAGGGAAUCUUCCACAAUGGACGCAAGUCUGAUGGAGCAACGCCGCGUGAGGUGAAGAAGGCUUUCGGGUCGUAAAACUCUGUUGUUGGAGAAGAAUGGUCGGCAGAGUAACUGUUGUCGGCGUGACGGUAUCCAACCAGAAAGCCACGGCUAACUACGUGCCAGCAGCCGCGGUAAUACGUAGGUGGCAAGCGUUAUCCGGAUUUAUUGGGCGUAAAGCGAGCGCAGGCGGUUUUUUAAGUCUGAUGUGAAAGCCCUCGGCCUUAACCGAGGAAGUGCAUCGGAAACUGGGAAACUUGAGUGCAGAAGAGGACAGUGGAACUCCAUGUGUAGCGGUGAAAUGCGUAGAUAUAUGGAAGAACACCAGUGGCGAAGGCGGCUGUCUGGUCUGUAACUGACGCUGAGGCUCGAAAGCAUGGGUAGCGAACAGGAUUAGAUACCCUGGUAGUCCAUGCCGUAAACGAUGAAUGCUAGGUGUUGGAGGGUUUCCGCCCUUCAGUGCCGCAGCUAACGCAUUAAGCAUUCCGCCUGGGGAGUACGACCGCAAGGUUGAAACUCAAAGGAAUUGACGGGGGCCCGCACAAGCGGUGGAGCAUGUGGUUUAAUUCGAAGCAACGCGAAGAACCUUACCAGGUCUUGACAUCUUUUGAUCACCUGAGAGAUCAGGUUUCCCCUUCGGGGGCAAAAUGACAGGUGGUGCAUGGUUGUCGUCAGCUCGUGUCGUGAGAUGUUGGGUUAAGUCCCGCAACGAGCGCAACCCUUAUGACUAGUUGCCAGCAUUUAGUUGGGCACUCUAGUAAGACUGCCGGUGACAAACCGGAGGAAGGUGGGGAUGACGUCAAAUCAUCAUGCCCCUUAUGACCUGGGCUACACACGUGCUACAAUGGAUGGUACAACGAGUUGCGAGACCGCGAGGUCAAGCUAAUCUCUUAAAGCCAUUCUCAGUUCGGACUGUAGGCUGCAACUCGCCUACACGAAGUCGGAAUCGCUAGUAAUCGCGGAUCAGCACGCCGCGGUGAAUACGUUCCCGGGCCUUGUACACACCGCCCGUCACACCAUGAGAGUUUGUAACACCCGAAGCCGGUGGCGUAACCCUUUUAGGGAGCGAGCCGUCUAAGGUG
rnacentral:rRNA from 1 species